CUCUGACAUAUUAUCUUCUUCCCCAUUACCAUCAUCCUAUUCCUUGGCAUAAUCCAUUUUACUUUUCGCCAAACCUUUGACCAUAUCUACAUUCUUCUUUAUCAUCAUGUUAUAUUGAUGCCACUUGAAAUCCCUCUGCUUAUUUUACACUGGGCUGAUAACCUCUUCUAACUGAUAACCGCCUGAUCACUAUCAUUGAAAACACACCUUAGAUUUUUAAUCAUGAUCUCAUAAGAAUCCGAGAAAUUCAAUGGCCAGAAUUUGAUAAGUAAACAGGAUAUACAGGUGUCGAAGAUAAAUAUAUAGAUCAAGAGUGAAAGUGCACAAUGGUCCUUGAAAACAACCCUUAUCUUGCAAUUCUAUAGGUUACCAGGGCUAAAUUUUCGUCUUACUGAAUUGAAUAUACCUGAGUUCAAACAGAAUACCUUAUCCUCUGGUAGAUUGAUAACAUUGUCAAAGAUUAGAUAGGACUUCGUGUAUACUAGCGAAUAACGAUUGUGCGAUACACGUACAUACGUGCGAACAUUGACUGUUCUCUCGAAAGUACAAUGCGAUUACGACCCGUAAUAAGGACGGCUUUUCUGCCUUAUCAAUUUCGAGCCAGCGUGGUUUAAAUAAUGUUAUAUGCCUAGAAGGUAAAAACAUCCAAUGAUGCCAAGUGUCGUCGAUCCGAUUAGAAACACUUAGCCGAAUCAACUAAUAUGUAAAAUGAUAUCAAGUUUCAAAAAUGUUACCAAAUUAAUGACAAGACUGCGGUUUCAAAUAAAUUAUGAAAGUUACUGUACACCCAGUAAUGGAGGCUAGUCAGUGUACUCGAUUUGAACAAGAAGACUGACUUACGUACGUUGUGCAUACUUGACUCACUGAUAAAAAAGAUGCAUGCAAAGAGGAGCGGGAGGUACCUCGCGCGUUAACAAUCUUGUCAAAGGCUAAAAUUAGUGGCUGGAAUGAGCGAAGAGGAGAAGGAAUAGCGAAAAUAGAACGUCAGAGUUGUUUACAAAGAUUGUUGAACGUCCCGUUUACGCAUUUCCAACGUUACUGUCCCUCGGUCAGGGUGGGUCGUCACGUCUUAACGCUAUGAUGGCAUCGGUAACGGCGGCACCUUGCACAGAUGCAGAAGAGGUCUUCGGGGAGAAGUGAGCGGACGUGCUGAGAACCUUGACAAGUAUGUCGGCGAAGACGUUCGCGUUAUAAAUAGGUCAGGAGGAAAUUGAGGAUGGCGGUUGAGAUUUGAGCUGCGCAACGAGGAAGAUUCGUAAGCGCAUCUUCACCAGCGGAUCUAGCUGCUCUAAAGAUAGUCCCUCCAAUUCGUGGCAAAACGCGGAGAGAUUCUUCGAGUAACUUAGUCAUCUGUAAGGAUAGGUCGAUCUUCUUCAGGAAAAAAAAUCUCAACUGCAAUUGACGUAACUGGUUACGUGUAUGACUACAAGCACGCACGCCACGAAUGCAGUGAAUGAACGAGUUGGGGCUCCUGGGUAGUAUCUUCUGGGUUCCUCGGCUUCCACGAGGUCCCCAGGGCAAAGAGGUUCCAGGGGUCAGGCAUUCUUGGCAGCCUUGCCAUACACGAGCAUCCGUGGCAAGUCACCAAGUACACCAGUCGCAUUCUGUGAAAUUCAUGACUCUCCUGACUGUCAUCAUCUCGACUUUCUCUGUCACCGAAUUUCUUAUCACGAAGCUGUAAGGAUAUCUGCAAGAAUUUUCACACGAUUGACACAGGAACGUUUUAUAUUAUUUCGAAAGGAAUUAAAGUACCGGUAAUACGCACCGAUCUAUUUUUGAUGUUCCAUAACUUCUGCUACGAGCUAGCUCAUGUCAUUGUGGAAUCCAAGGUCUAUCGAUGCAUCCAGUAUUCAAGAGGGGAAUUCACAGUGUCUUUGACACGUUUAAUAACGUCAUGGUUUGACGGCUGCAGACAAGCAGCAGACUGCUGACGUUCUGACAUCGUGCUUCAUCAGCAUAAUAACAGCGAGAAUUAUAUUUAUUAUAUUCGAAAGAAGUUUAGAACAGUUCAAGGUUGUCUAUUUAAACAUUCCUUCAUGAGGCUGUAUCAAGCAAGAUAAAAAAAAUCAUCCUUGAACAAUCAGCAAUGUCAAGCUCCGCUCUUUGAUGGAACAAUGCAGAGUAUCGCAGUGUCCUUGCCCCUGUCCAAUUAUCGCAGCUUUUGAAAACUUUGAAUAUUAUGUUAGGAAGCUCUUUACGUAAGUGGUGACAUGCAUUAAGCAAUUCGUACCGGUCUCUCUCUCUCUCUCUCUCUCUCUUCCUCCUGUCCUCUUUCCCUCCCUUGCUUGUCUUUGACUUUGAAAACUGCACACAACGAGGAUACAAUUAUUGGAUGUUUCAAGAAGAUAAUAAAGGCAAUGGUAAGUACACAAGAUAGCCAUUACACGGGUCGAGCUCAAUAAGAUUUUAUUUCGAGCAUAACGUAGCCUGGGAGUCAUCCAGAGUUGCACAACAGCUUCAGAGAGGUAGGGAAAUACGCGUUAGACAUGCUGACAGCCCAGAAGUGACUAAUAUCAAUGAUGAGAGUAGCUCCUGAGAAAAGGAAAGAAAAAAAAACAUACAUCAUCUUUGGGGUGCAUCCAGUACAAAGGGGUUGCGAAAUAUAAUGUGAGAAUUGUUAUGAAAUUCUUCAAAGAGCUUAUUUCAAUUUCACUAACUUGGUUUUUCGUUAAACUUCGACUCGGUCGAUGCUUGUCAGUGACAGUGGAAGGAGGUUAUGUUGACUCCGUCAGAAAGUCCUUCGAUACGACCUUGCGUCUCAGACAACACGAGUAGCAGGCAUUUCCUCUUGCAAUGAGAAUGUUGGAAACAAAUGAGAAAGCCGGUCACGCCUGAUGGCCAUGGAGUACGAGAACACUCUCUAAUGAGUCUCGUCCGCUCUGGCAUUUUCGUGCCCUCUCCCUCAGGAAUUCGUUUAGCGCCAGUCUCAUUACUUCUGACGCUCUUACAUAGAGAGAAUUAUCGACGCUCGACAGCCAUUGUUGUUGUCAACACAUCCGCCUAGAUCUUCGUUGUCAGCUUACAGACGAUGGCUUCUCUGAGUGUUAAAGAGGCCUGUGAAUUAUACGCUGUAUUCAUUGACGCAUCCGCAAAUGGCGGAUUGAACGCGCGAGGAAGUUUUACGAACGACCGGAUAUUACUGGGAACGAUUUUAUUUUUCGUGAUUACGUAGAGCGUGGAGAGCAUGGAGAAAGUGCGAGGGACCGACGUCUUUUCAACGUCGAGCAGGAAGGAAGCCGUCGAGGAGUAGAAGUUUCUUCAAAUUUCUCGAUUACACCUCAAAGAUAUCGAGCUCGGAGCUCGUUAACCCGUGAAGCCGAAAUUGUCGAGCCGUAACCGAAAUAUGUUGACUAGCGUAUUACAAUGGCAGCACUGUCGGUAAUUGUUCUGUACCAUCGGGUGAUAUACAUUGUAAUAAAAGCCGGAUUGAAUUA